rnacentral:rRNA from 1 species
CGCUGGCGGCACGCCUAACACAUGCAAGUCGAACGCAGUAGCAAUACUGAGUGGCGAACGGGUGAGUAUAAUGUGGGUAUCUGCCUUUUGGUUUGGAAUAACACGAGGAAACUUGUGCUAAUACCGGAUAAGCCCUUACGGGGAAAGUUUUAACGCCGAAAGAUGAGCCCGCACUUGAUUAGCUAGUUGGUAAGGUAAUGGCUUACCAAGGCAACGAUCAAUAGUUGAUCUGAGAGGAUGAUCAGCCACAUUGGGACUGAGACACGGCCCAAACUCCUACGGGAGGCAGCAGUGGGGAAUCUUGCACAAUGGGGGAAACCCUGAUGCAGCGAUGCCGCGUGAGUGAAGAAGGCCUUUGGGUUGUAAAGCUCUUUCGUCGGGGAAGAAAAUGACUGUACCCGAAUAAGAAGGUCCGGCUAACUUCGUGCCAGCAGCCGCGGUAAUACGAAGGGACCUAGCGUAGUUCGGAAUUACUGGGCUUAAAGAGCACGUAGGUGGUUAGAAAAGUUGGUGGUGAAAUCCCAAGGCUUAACCUUGGAACUGCCAUCAAAACUUUUUGACUAGAGUGUGAUAGAGGUAAGCGGAAUUUCUAGUGUAGAGGUGAAAUUCGUAGAUAUUAGAAAGAACACCAAUUGCGAAGGCAGCUUUCUGGAUCAUUACUGACACUGAGGUGCGAAAGCAUGGGUAGCGAAGAGGAUUAGAUACCCUCGUAGUCCAUGCCGUAAACGAUGUGUGCUAGACGUUGGAAAUUUAUUUUUCAGUGUCGCAGCAAAAGCGUUAAGCACACCGCCUGGGGAGUACGACCGCAAGGUUAAACUUAAAAGUGAAUGGCGU